UUAUCGCUCAUCGUACACGUUCAAAGUUUAGAAACAAAAAUGAAUCUGUGGUUGUUGAUAAGUUUAAGGCUGCUGAAACCACAUCUGUUAGCCGUAAACGUUCUACAUUGAAAAGGUCGAAAACAAUUUCAAUCAUUGAGUUCACCAAAGUCGCCGAGAACAGAAUGGUAUCGUUUACCGUCUGCUAUUUCCGAUGAGUUGUCUCUUUCUUUUCACAACCUCCGUGAUGUUUCAAUCCAAAACAUUAGAUGUGAGGUAACAAACAUGA
rnacentral:lncRNA from 1 species